rnacentral:lncRNA from 1 species
UUUAAUUACAAAAACUCUUUAUUAUUUCAUAAGAAUAGUAGAAAAAGUCUGACAGAAAGGGAAGGGAAGGUAGGUAGUUAACAGUUAGGGAGCAUCUAUUCCAUGCCAGCACUUUGCUAGGACUAUGACAUAAAGAAUGCUAUUUAACUCUCACAACCAUCUCAUAAGGUAUUAUUACCUGCUCUCCAUUCUCCUCCUUUUCAGGUUAGGAACAGGUUCACUGAGGUUAGUAACUUGCUUAUGGUCACCCACUUGUAGUGACAAAGCAGAAUUCAAAUGUGGUUCUUUUUUCACUUUCCCCUGGUGCCCUAAAGAGAAAGCUUGUAUAGAGUCUUAAUCCACACAGAUCUCCAUCAUAUUUAAGGCAGCCUGGUUGUUAAAAUAAGUAGCACCAUUCAAUAAGAAAAACCUAUGUUAUACAUCUAUAGAAUACUCAUUUCUAGUUAUAUUGUGCUAUUUGUUUUAAUGCUAAUUCAGAAGAACAGAUAAUAGGGUCUGUAGUAGUUGUAAGCAGUCCUUGAAUGUGAAAGUGUUAACAAUUUUAAUCCAACUCCAAGAGGACCAGAACUUGGCAUUCCUUAGAUGCACCAUUUAAAAUUGUUCCCAGUGCCCUUUGAAUGCUAUUUUUUUCCCAGCCAAGGCAGGCUUAUGUGGAGGAGAUAAAGAUGACAGCUUGAGGACUAAGGGUCCAGCCCUAUAUAAAUUACAUUGGGGGAAACAAGGGAAGGUCUUUGAAGCUCAGAGUCUCUGACUGAUAUUUUGGGUAGGUUUCAACCCUCUGCAUUCUCUUCUACUUGUUUCUAGAGAAAACUGUGGUAGAGGCCUUAGUGAAUCCCAGAGUCAAAAUCUGUCAUCACCUUUUAGCAGGUAAAGCUAGGCAAACCUUUGAGUUUGGAAUGGGUAGGGAAAAUGUGGUCCCUCACGAUAAGCCUCCCUACCCAUUACUUUGCUAGAGGGACUGAAAACCCUUUAAAGACUUGGCCUUGGAAACAGAAGAUCUAGGGACAGGUAAGGUGGAAAAAGGAGGUUAAUCUACACCCCAAUGGGCUGGAAGUAACACCUUGACUAUUUGCACCAUGCCAGCAAAUAAAGCUGAGAAUCAGCUCAGCCCAAGGCCUGGAAAGGAAACACAAAUGCAUGAAAAAUAACUUGAACCUCAUGGUUCUUUCAAAAGUCUCUUCGGCGAAAGUGUGAGUUGAAGAGUCGUAUAUCAUUUGCAGCUCUAUCCUCAUGCUCACUCUUCUGAGGUUUGACUUUACACAAACCUUGGUCAGCUGCAGAAGCAAGACACAAUGGGGACCUCAGAGUGAGGCUGAAGACUCCCCACACCCCCUCCUUGAAGCCCCUUCCAGGUUCCCCACCCGAUGUCCUCUAGCUCCUUUGAGCCUCGUCGCCCUUUAUGCUAUUCUUCCGAUAUGGGUCGUAAUUCCGUCUAUUUUGGGUUCUUCCUGCGCGUGCCUUAGAGGCCAUAAGACCCUGACUCACGUGCGUGUCCUCAAAGCCGCCAGCCCCAAGCGUGGCUGCUGGUGGGCGCAUCAGUAAAAGCGAGUGGAACGGAGCAGGCUCCUCCAACCUCUUUUCCACCUCUGAUUUCCGUUAAACAUUUGCUCCGCACGGCGGCCUCCGCGAGGCAAC